UACGUAGGGACCGAGCGUUGUCCGGAAUUACUGGGCGUAAAGCGUGCGCAGGCGGUUUUGUAAGUCAGAUGUGAAAUCCCCGGGCUUAACCUGGGAACUGCGUUUGAAACUACAAGGCUAGAGUGUGGCAGAGGGGGGGUGGAAUUCCACGUGUAGCAGUGAAAUGCGUAGAGAUGUGGAGGAACACCGAUGGCGAAGGCAGCCCCCCUGGGUUAACACUGACGCUCAGGCACGAAAGCGUGGGGAGCAAACAGG
rnacentral:rRNA from 1 species